rnacentral:rRNA from 1 species
AACGAACGCUGGCGGCAGGCCUAACACAUGCAAGUCGAGCGCUACCUUCGGGUGGAGCGGCGGACGGGUUAGUAACGCGUGGGAAUAUGCCCUUUACUAAGGAAUAGCCACUGGAAACGGUGAGUAAUACCUUAUACGCCCUUCGGGGGAAAGAUUUAUCGGUAAAGGAUUAGCCCGCGUUAGAUUAGAUAGUUGGUGGGGUAAUGGCCUACCAAGUCUACGAUCUAUAGCUGGUUUGAGAGGAUGAUCAGCAACACUGGGACUGAGACACGGCCCAGACUCCUACGGGAGGCAGCAGUGGGGAAUCUUAGACAAUGGGCGAAAGCCUGAUCUAGCCAUGCCGCGUGAGUGAUGAAGGUCUUAGGAUCGUAAAGCUCUUUCGCUGGGGAAGAUAAUGACUGUACCCAGUAAAGAAACCCCGGCUAACUCCG